rnacentral:rRNA from 1 species
UAGGGAAUCUUCCGCAAUGGACGAAAGUCUGACGGAGCAACGCCGCGUGAGUGAAGAAGGAUUUCGGUUCGUAAAACUCUGUUGUUAGGGAAGAAAAAAUGUAUAGUAACUAUAUACAAAAGAGACGGUACCUAACCAGAAAGCCCCGGCUAAUUACGUGCCAGCAGCCGCGGUAAUACGUAAGGGGCGAGCGUUGUCCGGAAUUAUUGGGCGUAAAGAGUGCGUAGGCGGCAAAUUAAGUCAGAUGUGAAAACUAAGGGCUCAACCCAUAGAUUGCAUCUGAAACUGAUAUGCUUGAGUCAAGGAGAGGAAAGUGGAAUUCCUAGUGUAGCGGUGGAAUGCGUAGAUAUUAGGAGGAAUACCGGUGGCGAAGGCGACUUUCUGGACUUGAACUGACGCUGAGGCACGAAAGCGUGGGGAGCAAACAGG